rnacentral:rRNA from 1 species
CCUACGGGAGGCAGCAGUGGGGAAUAUUGCACAAUGGGCGAAAGCCUGAUGCAGCCAUGCCGCGUGUGUGAAGAAGGCCUUCGGGUUGUAAAGCACUUUCAGCGGGGAGGAAGGCGUUAAGGUUAAUAACCUUGGCGAUUGACGUUACCCGCAGAAGAAGCACCGGCUAACUCCGUGCCAGCAGCCGCGGUAAUACGGAGGGUGCAAGCGUUAAUCGGAAUUACUGGGCGUAAAGCGCACGCAGGCGGUCUGUCAAGUCGGAUGUGAAAUCCCCGGGCUCAACCUGGGAACGGCAUUCGAAACUGGCAGGCUAGAGUCUUGUAGAGGGGGGUAGAAUUCCAGGUGUAGCGGUGAAAUGCGUAGAGAUCUGGAGGAAUACCGGUGGCGAAGGCGGCCCCCUGGACAAAGACUGACGCUCAGGUGCGAAAGCGUGGGGAGCAAACAGGAUUAGAUACCCGAGUAGUC